CUGCCAAAAGCCAUUUAAGUAAGCCACUUCCACUGAAGUGGAUCCUCCAGCAACAUGUUACUUCAUCUCAAGCUUUAAGAUGACCUCAGCCACAGCUGACAUCUUAACUGCAACUUUAUGAGAGACCCUGAGCAAAAACCACCCAGCACUUCUCCUUGCUGCCGCCAUGUGAAGAAGGAUGUUUUUGUUUCCUCUUCUGCCAUGAUUGUAAGUUCCUGAGGCCUCCCCAGCCACGCUGAACUAUCUUCAAGUGAAGUUGGUUUUCCUUUAUUCAAUAUGAUACUAGCUGUGGGUCUGACCUAUACGGAUUUUAUUGUGCUGAGGUCUCACAUGAAAUAGAAGCACAUGUGGUACAUGAAAUUUCUCUUGGAUGAUAUAUUAAAAGACGUAUUAAAUUGAUAGCAUCUCUUGAAGUCAAAUAAUAAAGGAGGGGGCGUUGCCAGAGGAGGCAGAUAUUUGGUCAGUGGACUGAGAGAGGAAGAUCUACACUCAAUGUGGGUGAGCACCAUCCAGUUGGCUGCCAUUGCAGCUACAACAAAGCAGGUGGAAAAAUUCUCCAGGUUCUUCGGCCUUCGGACUCUUGGACUUGUACCAGUGGCUUGCUGGAGGCUGUUGGGCAUUCGGCCACAGACUGAAGGCUAAACUGUCAGCUUCCCUGGUUUUGAGGCUUUCGGACUCAUAUUGAGCCACUACCAGUUUCUCUCUUUCCCAGCUUGCAGACGACCUAUUGUAAAAUUUUCCCUUGUAAUCAUGUGAACUAAUUUUACCUAAUAAAUUCCCUUCUAUAUGUACGUAUAUCCUAUUAAUUCUGUCCUUCUGAAGAACCCUCACUAAUACACAUUCCAACUGAUACCUCAGAAAUUCAAAAGAUCACUAGUGGUUUCCACAAGCAAAUGUAUGCCAAUAAAUUGAAAAUUCUAGAAGUAAUAAACAAAUUUCUAGACACAUAUAAUCUACGGAGACUGAACAAUGAAGAAAUAAAAAACCUGAACAGACCAAUAACAAGUAAUAAGACCAAAGCAGGAAUAAAAAGGCUUGGAGCAAAGAAAUGCCCAGAACCCGAUGGCUUCUGUGCUGAAUUCUACCAAACAUUUAAAGAACUAAUACAAAUUGUACUCAAAUUCUUCCAAAUAUAGAGAAGGGAAGAAUACUUCAAAACUCAUUUUAUGAAGCCAGUAUUAUCCUGAGACCAAUACUAGACAAACACAUAUUUAAAAAAACUACAGUCUAAUAUUUUUGUUAAAUAUUGAUGCAAAAGAAACAUCAACAAAAUACUAGCAACCAAAUUUGACAACACAUUAAAAAGAUCUUUGAGUCAAUCAACAGAAAAAUAGAUUACAAAAAUAUGGUUCAUAUAUCCUGUCAUUUGCAACAACAUGGAUGGAACUGGGGAUUAUUAUUUUAAGUGAGAUAAUCCAGACACAGAAGGACAAACAUUGUAUGUUCUCAUUUAUUUGUGGGACCAAAAAAUCAAAGCAAUUUGACUCAUAGGCAUAGAGAAUAUAAGGAUGAUUACUAGGGGCUGGGAAGGGUAGUAGGGGCCUGGAGUAAGGUACAGAUGGUUAAUGGGUAUAAAGAAAUAGAAAGAAUGAAGAGUACCUAGUAUUUCAUAGCACAACAGGAUGCUUAUAGUAAAAAAUAACCUAAUUGUAAAUUUCAAAAUAACUAAAAGAGUGUAAUUAGAUUAUUUGUAACAAAACAGAUAAAUACUUGAGGGGAUAAAUACCCUAUUAUUUAUGAUGUUAUUGUUUUUCACUGUAUUCCUAUAUCAAAACAUGUUAUAUACCCCAAAAUAUAUACCUGUUAUAUACUCACAAAAAUUAAAUAUAAAAAAAUUUUAAAACAUCAUUUAUCAUACCAAGUGAAAUUUAUUCCAGGGAUUCAAGGAUGGUUCAACAUAUACAAAUCAAUCAAUAUGAUACAUCAUAGAAACAGAAUAAAGAGCAAAAUCUAUAUGAUCAUUUCAAUUGAUGUUGAAAAGGCAUUUCAUAAAAUUUAACAUCCCUUCAUGAUAAAUUCCCUCCAUAAACUGGGUAUAGCAAAAAACAUAACUCUUCAUAAUGUAAGUUAUAUAGGACAGACCCACAGCAAGCUUCAUAAUGGAUGAGAAUAAAACUGAUUCUUUAUUCUAAGAUCUGGAGCACAAAGAUGCAGACUUCCACCACUCUUAUUUGACAGAAUAUUGGAAGUCCUAGUGACAGCAAUCAAGCAAGAUAAAAAAAAUAAGAGUAUCCAAAAUGAAAAGAAGAGGUCAAAUUAUUCUUGUUUGCUGUUUUUGUAAUCUUGUAUUUGAAAAAAAAACUAAAGAUUCAGCAAAGAAACAAUAAGAACUUAUAAACAAAUUCAGCAAUAUACAAAAAUGUAUCAUUUCUAUAUGCCCACACUGAACAAUUUGAAAAAAAAAUCAAGAAAGUAAUCCCAUUUAAAAUAGAUACAAAUAAAAUGUAAUAUUUAGAAAUUAACCAAAAAAGUGAAAGGUCUUUUCAAUUAGAACUAUAAAGCUUUGAUUCAUAAAACCAAAGAGGACACAAAACAAUGGAAAGAUGUCUCAUGUUCAUGGAUUGAAACAAUCAAUAUUGUUAAUAUGUCCAUAGUUCACAGAGCAAUCUAUAUAUUUAAUACAAUCCUUAUCAAUAUACCAAUGACAUUAUUCAAAGAAAUAAAAAAAAAUCCUAAAAUUUAUAUGGAACCACCAAAGACCCAGAAGAGCCAAAGCUAUGUAAAGCAAAAAGAACAAAACUGGAGGAAUCACAUUACCUGGCUCAUAAAUUAUAAUACAGAGCUAAGUUAACCAAACUGAUGUGGUGCUGGCAUAAAAACUGAGAAAUAGAAAUGUAGAACAAAAUAAAGAACCCAGAAAUAAACGUAUAGAUCUACAGUGGACUCAUUUUCAAAAAAGUUUACAAGAAUAUGCAUUGGAGAAAGGACAGUCUCUUCAAUAAAUGGUGCUGAGAAAUCUGAAUAUGCAUAUGCAGAGGAAUGAAACUUGACACCUAUCUCUCAUCUUAUUAAAAAAUCAAACCAAAAUGAGUUAAAUGCUUAAAUCUAAGACCUCAAAUUAUGAAAAUGGUAAAAUAAAAUAUUGGGGUCCAACAUGGUGGCUCAUGCCUGUAAUCCCAGCACUUUGGGAGGCUGAGGCAGGAGGACUGCUUAAGCCCAAGAGUUUGCAACCAGCCUGAGUAACGUAGUAAGAUCUCAUCUCUACAAAAAUGUGAUAAUAAUAGUAAUAAAUUAGCUGCAUCUGGUGUCACAUGCCUCAGGAUAAGGCAGAAGAAUAGCUUGAGCCUGGGAGGUCGAGGCUGCAGUGGGCCAUGAUUGUGCCACUGCACUCCAACCAGGGUGACAGAAUGAGAUCCUGUCUCAUUAAAAAAAAAAAAAAGAAAAAG
rnacentral:lncRNA from 1 species